rnacentral:snoRNA from 1 species
UGGUUACACUUGAUCUCUGAACUUCAGGUAAGUUACAUCUGUUGAGAAGCUUAUGUGCUGAUGCU